rnacentral:rRNA from 1 species
CAGGUUGAAGCUGGUGUAAGAGCUAGUGGAGGACCGAACGGGUGAAGGUUUAAAACUUCUCCGAUGAACUGUGGAUAGGGGUGAAAGGCCAAUCAAACUUAGUGAUAGCUGGUUCUCUCCGAAAUAUAUUUAGGUAUAGCGUCAUGUUAGAAGUAUAAGGGGGUAGAGCACUGAUUGGGCUAGGGCGUAUACCAAUGUACCAAACCCAGUCAAACUCCGAAUACCUUAUAUGAAUUCAUGGCAGUCAGGCAUAGGGUGAUAAAAUCCUAGGUCGAAAGGGAAACAGCCCAGACUACCGACUAAGGUCCCAAAGUUCUAUUUAAGUGGAAAAGGAUGUGGAGUUGCUUAGACAACCAGGAGGUUGGCUUAGAAGCAGCCAUCCUUUAAAGAAAGCGUAACAGCUCACUGGUCUAGCGAUUCUGCGCCGAAAAUAUAACGGGGCUAAAAUAGACACCGAAGUCGUAGAUUUGUACUGAUGUACAAGUGGUAGGAGAGCGUUCGUAUCAGCGUUGAAGGUAUACCGGUAAGGAGUGCUGGAGCGAUACGAAGUGAGCAUGCAGGCAUGAGUAGCGAUAAAAGAGGUGAGAAUCCUCUUCGCCGCAAACCCAAGGUUUCCUACACUAUGCUCGUCAUUGUAGGGUUAGUCGGGUCCUAAGCUGAGUCCGAAAGGGGUAAGCGAUGGCAAAUUGGUUAAUAUUCCAAUACUAACAAAUAAGCGCGAUGGGGGGACGCAUAGGGUUAAACGAGCUCACUGAUGGAAUAGUGGGUCGAAGGGCGUAGAUUGGCCGGAUAGGAAAAUCCGCUGGCUGUAUUCGAGACCUGACAGGCUCUUAGAACUCUUCGGAGGGACAAGAGAAUCGUUGAUACCGUCGUGCCAAGAAAAGCCUCUAAGUAUAUUAUUUGUUACCCGUACCGUAAACCGACACAGGUGGGUGAGAUGAGUAUUCUAAGGCGCGUGGAAGAACUCUGGUUAAGGAACUCUGCAAACUAGCACCGUAACUUCGGAAUAAGGUGUGCCUCCUCUUGUAUAGGAACUUGCUUCUAAAAGCGAGAGAGGUUGCAACAAAGAGUCCCUCCCGACUGUUUAUCAAAAACACAGCACUAUGCUAACUCGUAAGAGGAUGUAUAUGGUGUGACGCCUGCCCGGUGCUUGAAGGUUAAUUGAUGGGGUUAGCGCAAGCGAAGCUCUUGAUCGAAGCCCAAGUAAACGGCGGCCGUAACUAUAACGGUCCUAAGGUAGCGAAAUUCCUUGUCGGUUAAAUACCGACCUGCAUGAAUGGCGUAACGAGAUGGGAGCUGUCUCGACCAGAGAUCCAGUGAAAUUGUAGUGGAGGUGAAAAUUCCUCCUACCCGCGGCAAGACGGAAAGACCCCGUGCACCUUUACUAUAGCUUGACACUGCAGUUGGGAUACAUUUGUGCAGGAUAGGUGGGAGGCUUUGAUGUGAUGACGCCAGUUGUCACGGAGCCAUCCUUGAGAUACCACCCUGAUGUAUUCUGAUUGCUAACUUGCCACAGUUAUCCUGUGGGAGGACAAUGUCUGGUGGGUAGUUUGACUGGGGCGGUCGCCUCCUAAAAAGUAACGGAGGCUUACAAAGGUUGGCUCAGAACGGUUGGAAAUCGUUCGUAGAGUAUAAUGGUACAAGCCAGCUUGACUGCGAGACAUACACGUCGAGCAGAGACGAAAGUCGGUCAUAGUGAUCCGGUGGUUCUGUGUGGAAGGACCAUCGCUCAAAGGAUAAAAGGUACGCCGGGGAUAACAGGCUGAUCUCCCCCAAGAGCUCACAUCGACGGGGAGGUUUGGCACCUCGAUGUCGGCUCAUCGCAUCCUGGGGCUGGAGCAGGUCCCAAGGGUUUGGCUGUUCGCCAAUUAAAGCGGUACGCGAGCUGGGUUCAGAACGUCGUGAGACAGUUCGGUCCCUAUCU